UACGUAGGGUGCGAGCGUUGUCCGGAAUUAUUGGGCGUAAAGAGCUUGUAGGCGGUUUGUCGCGUCUGCCGUGAAAUUUCGAGGCUUAACCUCGAACUUGCGGUGGGUACGGGCAGACUAGAGUGUGGUAGGGGAGACUGGAAUUCCUGGUGUAGCGGUGAAAUGCGCAGAUAUCAGGAGGAACACCAAUGGCGAAGGCAGCUCGCUGGGACGGUAUUGACGCUGAGACGCGAAAGCGUGGGGAGCAAACAGG
rnacentral:rRNA from 1 species